rnacentral:misc_RNA from 1 species
UGCAUCGAACUGCUUCCCUCACUUUCGAUCAGUUGUUGCUCCACGAGAUAAACGUUGGACGCAAGACAUGGGUUCCUGUGUUGCAUACCUAUUGCGACGGAAAUGUGUGCCUUCGAUCGUCCCUUCCAUCACGGCGUCCUCACGGAUGCUCGGUUGGACCGGAUAGUGGGGCUCGUGUUCCACGAACAUCGUCUCAUUCGAUCGUUCGGAUGGACCACGGGUGCCUACUCGUUCUCUCGGAUGCGGAACUCUCUUAAUGGGCGUGGGGUCAUUGGCCCUUGGUCCCUAAUCGUUAAGCGUUUAUCGCUUCACCGGAAUGACGAUCUCGCCUUGUCCUUGACCACGCGAAGCCCUCGGGCAUCGCGACGGAUCAUGCUCGGCGGACGUCGUGAAGGAAUGC